UUCGUAGGUUGCAGUUGAAAAUGUCGCAGAGAAAACAAGACAAGAGAAAAACAUUGUCAUACAAAACAUCAUGGAAGGAGAGAAAACAAUAUAGUUUUAAAACAUUAGCAUGGAAAAAGAUAUCUUCAGCCGAGGUUUGGGUGGAGGCUCGGACGUUUUGUUGUAAGUUUCCACUGGCCAGACUGGUAAAGGUGCAGGAUGUCUCAGCUGUGUUAAAAAGGAAAAAUAUUCACCAUGCAUGUUUUAAAUAAUAUUAUAUUCUGAAUGUAUUCUUAUUUUGAAUAUAUUAUUGUGUAGUGUAUUUCUAAAUAAUAUGUUAUUAUUUCUAAGAUAAAUGUAUUCUUCUCCCCCCUUAAA